CUUGACUCUGUUUUCUAAAUGAGCAAAACUCGAACCUAAAUUUUGGGCUCAUUUAUUUUCAAAGCUCAAGUCUAAUUUUUAAGCUCAUUUAAUAAACAAGCCGAGCUCAAGCUUAUUGACAUUCAAUUCGUUAAAGCUCGCGAGAUCGCUUAUUUAAUAGAUUUGCGAGCUAAUUUGUAACUGAAUCGCGAACUGACUCUGUUUGACUAAAAUUAUUUAGUUUUAAACUUAAGCCUAAUAAAAGUUAGGUAGUUUUGAACUUCUUAGCCCUAAACUUAAAACUCACUGUAACUAUAAAUGAGUCAAACUGCUCUCGAGUUCUCGGCUCGGCUCGUUUUCUAAACAAGGCAAGCUUGAGCUUAUUGAUAUUCGGCUUAUUUUCUUAACAAGUCACACUCAAGCUCGGCUCAAACUUAAAAAAAUUUUAAUGAGCCAAGCCUGA
rnacentral:misc_RNA from 1 species